AUGGUGUUCGUUCACAAGGGUGGUGUUUGGUGGUUCCUCUUUCUCGCGGCGGUGCUGCUCGCUGCUGCGGCCGUAGGAGCGGAGCAGGAGGAUGGGGCCAUGGUCACCGUCGUCGCGGAGGUGGAGGAGGAGGUCGGUGGGCGUGUCCAUGACCAGGGCAACGACAUGUGUGACAUCAAGUGUCAACACGGGCAACAUCUCGCAUGGAGACGACGGUGCGUGAACGAGUGCCACAGACAAAAGCUUCAUCAUUCUAGAAGAGCUUUCUGCGAAAUGAAGUGCCAAGAUCACUACCAUGACCCGUCAAGGAUGGAGCUGUGCGUGCACCAGUGCAUGAGCUAUGGCAUCAAGCUCCAUGCGGACAGCAACAACGACGUCGAUCACCAUCCCCACGCCUGGGAGCUGGAGGUCGGCUGGGGUGCCGACGACCGAAGCAACGACAUGUGCGACAUCAAGUGCCAGCACUGGCAAGACCCCGCCGGGAGACGACGGUGCGUGAACGAGUGCCACAGCCGGGAGCAUCAUCAUCCUAGCAGAGCUUUCUGCGAGAUGAAAUGUCAACAUCACUACCAUGACCCGUCAAGGAUGGAACUGUGCGUGCACCAAUGCAUGAGCUAUGGCCUCAACGACCUUCAUGUAGGCGGCAACAAUGGCGUCGCUGAGCAUCCCACCGGCUGA
rnacentral:rRNA from 1 species